UACUGUAUUUCAGUUUGAGCUGCCAAACAUCAGGCGAAAUGUAAUAUAUGCAAAGAAUAUCCAGUUGUGGGUUUCCGUUACCGUUGCUUGAAAUGCUUUAAUUUCGAUAUGUGUCAGGCGUGCUUCUUCUUUGGCCGCAGUGGAAAAAAUCAUAAACUCAGUCAUCCGAUGCAUGAAUACUGCACCACUGCCACUUCCACUGAAGAUGUGCGUGAUUUUACUCGAGCUCUCAAGAAUAAGUUCAAGAGCAGCAAGUACUUCAAGAAGCAUUCACGUCUUGGAUAUUUACCAGUUCAAAGCGUGCUCGAAGGAGAUGCUCUGGAAGUAAAUAUCCUUUUUCUAUUAACAAAUAAAAAUGGCUCACUGUCAUGACUUCCACGGAUACAAAUUUUAUCCGUAUCCGUGAGAGUCACGGAUAUGGUUUAUAUCCGUAUCGACAUUGCGCCUUCUUGACAGUUCUCAUAUAAAUGAGCCCAGAAGCGCCAACUGGUGCAAGAACAUGUAAUACAACCGUUGUAUACCAAUAGUAUUCAAAAGCUUACACGUUGGGUAUACUGUUAUUGACUGUUUUGAACUCGAAAAAAAA